rnacentral:sRNA from 1 species
CUUUCCGAGCGAGGUCCUCAGCCGUGCAUGCAUUGAGCUUUGGCCCUUGGUGAUAGGCGGCUCGGCCUGCCCUACCUGGCACCCUGACCCUGGUCACGGCCUCUCCCUCCAGCAGGAUACAGACGUCCCUCACCAGUGCCAGCUUGGGGUCUGCAGAUGAGAACUCGGUGGCCCAGGCUGACGAUAGCCUGAAAAACCUCCACCUGGAGCUGACGGAAACCUGUCUGGACAUGAUGGCUCGAUACGUCUUCUCCAACUUCACGGCUGUGCCGAAGAGGUCCAGGCGGCACUACAGGGCUGGGCGGGCCUGCGGGAGCUCCACGGGCGAGCUGGGUUUCACGCUCCCUGUCUUCUAGGUCUCCUGUGGGCGAGUUCCUCCUAGCGGGUGGCAGGACCAAAACCUGGCUGGUUGGGAACAAGCUUGUCACUGUGACGACAAGCGUGGGAACCGGGACCCGGUCGUUACUAGGCCUGGACUCGGGGGAGCUGCAGUCCGGCCCGGAGUCGAGCUCCAGCCCCGGUGUGCAUGUGAGACAGACCAAGGAGGCGCCGGCC